GACGAACGCUGGCGGCGUGCUUAACACAUGCAAGUCGAACGGGCCCGCUCUCUUUUUUGGGGGUGGGUUGAGUGGCGAACGGGUGAGUAUCACGUGAGUAACCUGCCCCCUGCUCCUGGAUAACUGCUUGAAAGGGCGGCUAAUACGGGGUGUGCCGGCUGGUCCGCAUGGGCCUGGUCGGGAUAGUUUCAUCUUCGGGUGUUUCGGUGGGGGAUGGGCUCGCGGCCUAUCAGCUUGUUGGUGGGGUGAUGGCCCACCAAGGCGGUGACGGGUAGCCGGCCUGAGAGGGUGGGCGGCCACACUGGGACUGAGACACGGCCCAGACUCCGGCGGGAGGCAGCAGUGGGGGGUAUUGCACAAUGGGCGGAAGCCUGAUGCAGCGACGUCGCGUGAGGGAUGGAGGCCUUCGGGUGGUGAACCUCUUUCUCCGGUGGUGAAGGCCCUGUCCGUUGCGGCGGGGUUGACGGUAGCCGGGUAUGAAGCGCCGGCUAACUACGUG
rnacentral:rRNA from 1 species